rnacentral:rRNA from 1 species
GGGGAAUAGUGGACAAUGGGCGAAAGCCUGAUCCAGCCAUGCCGCGUGUGUGAAGAAGGUCCGCGGAUUGUAAAGCAUUUGAAGGUGGGCGGACGGGCAGGUACGUACUACUUGAUUGUGUUGACGUUACCGACAGAAUAAGGACGGGCUAACUCUGUGCCAGCAGCCGCGGUAAUACAGAGGGUGCAAGCGUUAAUCGGAAUUACUGGGCGUAAAGCGCGCGUAGGUGGUUAGUUAAGUUGGAUGUGAAAUCCCCGGGCUCAACCUGGGAACUGCAUUCAAAACUGACUGACUAGAGUAUGGUAGAGGGUGGUGGAAUUUCCUGUGUAGCGGUGAAAUGCGUAGAUAUAGGAAGGAACACCAGUGGCGAAGGCGACCACCUGGACUGAUACUGACACUGAGGUGCGAAAGCGUGGGGAGCAAACA